UACAGGGGGUGCAAACGUUGCUCGGAAUCAUUGGGCGUAAAGCGCACGUAGGCGGUUCGUUAUGUCGGAUGUGAAAGCCCUUGGCUUAACCGAGGAAGUGCAUCCGAAACUGGCGAGCUAGAGUACUAAAGAGGAUCGCGGAAUUCCCGGUGUAGCGGUGAAAUGCGCAGAUAUCAGGAAGAACACCCGUGGCUAAGGCGGCUCUCUAGUACGGUACUGACGCUGAGACGCGAAAGCGUGGGGAGCGAACAGG
rnacentral:rRNA from 1 species